rnacentral:lncRNA from 1 species
UUUCUAGUCCUGCCGAUUUUCUUGAUGCACCCCAAUUUACAAAGGCAACCAAAUUAUAUUCAUUCAAAUAAUAGCAUUUGUCCAUAAGACAAUACAAAUUUCCAACAAUCUAGUCUGAUGUCCAAAACCAAAGCUUAAUAUCGAAACAUCACAAGCAUAUUUAGAACACACUAUAAGCAUUUUUUAAGAAUUCAAGUAACACGACUACAAUGCACUACUAGCUGAUUUGAACUCCAACACUACAGCACCACUUCCAGGCAGCUGACCCAAGUAAUUCUUGCCAAAAACAUCAAUCUCCAAUAACACAGACUAAGUGUCAAACCUGCACAAUUCAAAACACAUACAACAUUAUAAUAAGUUAUAACAGCUAGCUCCCAAAUGAAUAGAGUAAUAAUAUUAGUUGAUUUUCCAAGCAAUCAUCCGAUGGACACACCACUACUAUAUUAAGGUACCAUGAAAAUGGGGUAACACACGCUAAAAAAAGCAUACUAGUUACAAGUUAAAAAUUUUGUUCUAUAAAUGUGUCAUUUUAUCAUCCAAACAUAGAAAUCAUUUUGAAACAAAGGAUGAACAGAUAAUUUCAUAUUCAUCAAGUGCAACAAAAAAUCAAGUUUAUAUGCACAUGACAAGGCUUGUAUAUAUAAAAAUGGAUGUUUCCAUACAAUGCAAUGUAGUUUAUAGUUAAUAAUACAUGAAAAUAAUAAUAGUGGAGGCACACUUUCUUAUCAAUUAAAACUAAUUUCUAUGAAAAACUUGCUUUUUGCAUGUAAUGUAAAGCAAAACCACUCAAAGGCAAGAACCUUUUAGCCAAUCAAAUGAUCCACUUAUUGAUCUUAUUAUGCUAGCAGUAGACUUUAUGAAUACCAAAUAUUCAUGAGCAUCAGAAAACUUCAGAUAAGCACUUUAGAACAAAGAUGAACCUACUAGUUAAGAUUUAGUCUGAUUCUUUCAAACCAUAACCUUCACAACUAGAUUAACCACACCUGGGAAUUGUGAAGAACAGUACAAAUGCACUAUGUAACAGAUUGAACACUCCUAAAUCUGAAGCAAAAUAAUAUACCAUCCAUUUGUAAUCUUACAGAAAAGCGCUCAAUCUUCACUUACAUUGCUCCUUCGGAUUGCAAUUCUGUGUACACGCAUUUUCAGAAAUACAGUAGUACAAAAUCCAUCAUCUCUGUUGUAAUAAGGGAAAAAACUCAACAUCAAUAAAACUGUUGCUUGCAAACCCAAAGAAGAACGGAAAACAGAAGGAUUAUUUAUACAACUAUAGAAAGAAGUAAGGUAAUAAUUGAAUGAGACAUCAAGGCAAUAAUGAAGCGUUGAUGUUCCCUUGACAAGGUUUUGAUAUAUACCAUAUUAUUUUGGUACAAUUUCAGUAAAUACCAUAUAAACAAUAGGUGUCGCGAAUAUAAAACGACACAGUGACUUCACAUAAAAAAGCGCAUAUACAUGAUAAAUUUAGUAGGUGAAAAUAUCUUUACUAAAAACUAAAAUGACCACCACUCAUUCACGAGUUCUAUAGUACAGUAGUAGCACACUAGCACUAGUUCUGUAGUACAAACAGUAAGGUAUUUAACCAAACUGGACCAUUCUAAGCUAGCACAAACACUUGCAUGCAUUAAUGUUCAUUUUGUAGUAGCACGCUAGCUUGUGGCACAGGGCCACCAAGCUUUCACGUAGUGGCUCUGUAUAAGCACAAAACUUGCAUGCACAUAAGAUUCCUAUGCAGUAGACUAGUAGUAGCACACUUGGUCUUGGCAACAAACUUUAAUUUGCUCACCGUUGGUCUGACACGUACAUGCCUAGGGGAGAUGCAUGCAUGCUGAUGAGCCAGUCAGUAUAUAUUGCAGACAAACACAUCAUCCCAAGAUGAUUGGGGUCGUAUAAUUUUUGUAUGAUAAGCAUCAACAGCAAAUGGAAGUUAGUUUUUACCGACUUCUUACUUAUUCCUAGUUGUGCCCACGUGAUGACUUCAAGCAACUCCUCCAAGGUUCCAUAGCUGCCUGUCAAAUUAAUUGAAUGUCAAAACACUUGUGGAAGAAUUGUAUUCAGAAAUUUCUUUCACUUGUGGAAGAAUUCUAUUGGUACCUAGUAUAGCAAUAAAAGCAUCAGCAAACCGAGCCAUUUCGCCCUUCCCCUCGUGCAUGCCAGAAACAACUCUAACUUAACCUACAUGAUCGCCUAGUACCUAUAUGAGUGUGGAUUAGGAACAGUAAGAAACUAAGCAACCAGCCACAACAUACUGACAGCACGGCAGCGGCCGACGUCCUUGGGCGGCAAUCCCUUGAGUACCACAGAGCCAAUUAUACAGGAACAGAAUAUGGAAGCAGAAACUGAAUCAUUACAAAGCAAGGUUACACGAGAAUAGAAUACAGAAGCAGAUUAUACGGAAGCAAGAACUUAGUCCUUACAUAGAAGAUUACACACACCACAAAUUAUGAAUAUAAGCAAGAACUGAAUCAUUACAAUAGAAAAUUAUACGCAAGCAAGAACUAAAUGUAGAAGCAACAAGAGCAGAUUAUGCAAGAAAAAACCACAAACAAACAUUUAACAAAUCAUUAGGAGGGUUCAUUUGAUAACACACAUAAAUCACACUGUGGUUCAAUUCCAUGGUAACAUCUAUAUAUGUUCGGCCAUUUCACAACAUCACUCUCGGCCAUGAAAUGCUAAAAAACAGUAUAAACCUGACAAGUGGCGAUAAUGUACUACUAAACAGUAGUGCUCCCCCAGCCAGCUUCUUGCAGCUGGGUAGAGUGAGGCCCCAACACUCCCCAACCCCCCAAGACCCAGAGCAAGCAAACUAACAGCAGGGUGACAUUGAUAUCUAUCAAGCCUCUACAAAUUUGGUAAAUAAAACAGAAAAAAUUAAGUUUUUGGUGCAGCACAAGUUAAAUAGAAAAUUUGGCAGAUUGGUUCAUAGGAAUUGAACGCCCAAGCAAUUUCAUUUUAAGUUUUAGGAAUGCACAUACAAAUUGAAGUAAACCAAAUCCCCCAAUCCAUAUGUGUCAAAUGCUGUCCAAACUGAAGCUCAACUGUAGGUGUCCCUCUCCUAUGUUACAGCCAAACUACGUGGCUGGAAUGGAUUGGAUUGGACCAACCCAAAUCAAUACAGCUAGCUAGCAAGGAAGGGAAGGGGACGUCCUUCUCUUACCACCACCGUGGUCGUACAGCUGCAGCUUCUGAUCUUCACUACCCUGUGAAUUUGUACGUGCUGAAGAAGUGACAUACAUCUAGCCAAGGACGUCGUGGAACGCGAACCGUGCGGCACACCAAAAGGAACACCUCUUCCCAGCCUCGCUCAUCACAAAUCAGCUACAAUAGGGCAACCCACGCCAUGGAUCCCACGGGAGGAGCCUGGUCUGGUUGAUCUGAGAGCGAGGGGGAGUAGGUGAGGCGAGGUUGCGACGGAUCCCGGAAAAGAUGAGCGUGCAGGAGGGACCAAUCUAAUGGAGGAAAAAACCCUAGGCAUGGGUUGGAGAGGGAUGGAUGGCUGGGGGAUUCAGCGGAUCUGGCAGCUACCGGUGCUACGAGGUGAGAGCAGGGGAGGUGGAGGGCCGGCGGCGAGCUAUUGGAGGGAGGCGAGAAGGGGAAGGGUGGCAGCGAUGUGAGACGAUGGGGAAUGGGAGGGGGCUGCGGAGGGAGGGAGGAG